GGUCAAGCUACAAAGGGCACAGGGUGAAUGCCUUGGCACUGGGAGCCGACGAAAGACGUGAUAAGCUGCGAAAAGCCACGGGGAGCUGCAAAUAAGCCUUGAUCCGUGGAUAUCUGAAUGGAGCAAUCCGGCGGAUGUAACGAUCCGUCAUGGCAUACUGAAUCCAUAGGUAUGUCAGGGGAACCGCCUGAACUGAAACAUCUAAGUAGGGCGAGGAAGAGAAAUCAACCGAGAUUCCGUAAGUAGUGGCGAGCGAAAGCGGAAGAGGCCAAACCGCAUGCAGCAAUGUGUGCGGGGUUGCGGACUGCAUAAGGUAUGUUGAAGUCUAGCUGAACUGUAUGGGAAGGCAGACCGGAGAGCGUGAGAGUCGCGUAAGCGAAAGACAGAGACAGCCGGCAGGAUCCAGAGUACCGCGGGACACGUGAAACCCCGUGGGAAGCCGGGGGGACCACCCUCCAAGCCUAAAUACUCCCCAGUGACCGAUAGAGAAUAGUACUGUGAAGGAAAGGUGAAAAGCACCCCGGGAGGGGAGUGAAACAGCACCUGAAACCCUGAGCCUACAAGCACAUAGAGCACGUCAAAGUGUGAUAUGGUACCUUUUGUAGAAUGGUCCGGCGAGCGUAUGUAUGCAGCAAGGUUAAGCGCUUAAGGCGUGGAGCCGAAGGGAAACCGAGUCUGAAUAGGGCGUGAAGUUGCAUGCAUAGGGCCCGAAACCGGGUGACCUAUCCAUGUCCAGGUUGAAGUGGGAGUAAAAUCCCAUGGAGGACCGAACCGACCUCCGUUGAAAAGGCGGCGGAUGAGGUGUGGAUAGCGGAGAAAUUCCAAUCGAACCCGGAGAUAGCUGGUUCUCCCCGAAAUAGCUUUAGGGCUAGCGUUGUAUUAGAUUACCGGAGGUAAAGCACUGAAUGGGCUAGGGGCCGAGAGGUUACUGAACCCUAUCAAACUCUGAAUGCCGGAUAAUUGAUGUACAGCAGUCAGACUACGUGAGAUAAGUCUCGUGGUCGAGAGGGAAAAAGCCCAGACCCACAGCUAAGGUCCCAAAUACACGUUAAGUGGAAAAGGAUGUGGAGUUGCACAGACAACCAGGAUGUUGGCUUAGAAGCAGCCACUCAUUAAAAGAGUGCGUAAUAGCUCACUGGUCGAGUGACUCUGCGCCGAAAAUUCAACGGGGCUAAACGUGUAACCGAAGCUUGGGAUUUCAUUCACUGAACAAUGCUUUUUGUCAGGCAGGAGGGAAAGAUUUGCUGCCGAAGGCAGCUAAAUUCUCAAAAGCAAACGAGAGAGAAAGCGUUGGUCAGUGAAUGAAAUGGUAGGGGAGCGUCGUAUACGGGGUGAAGUAUGAGCGAAAGCGCAUGUGGACUGUAUACGAGUGAGAAUGCCGGAAUGAGUAGCGAGAAAUAUGUGAGAAUCAUAUUGGCCGAAAGUCUAAGGUUUCCGGAGGAAGGUUCGUCCGCUCCGGGUAAGCCGGGAGCUAAGGUGAGGCCGGAAGGCGUAGCCGAUGCACAUACGGUAGAGAUUCCGUAGCUGCCGGAGGAUUUAAGCAGAGGGACACUGUCAAAGGGUAUGACCCGGGCGUUGGUAGCCCCGGGCGAAAGGGACUGAAAUAUAGUAGGGAAGCAUACUUGGCGGCAGGCGAGAAAAGCUCUGUGGAUAUCUGAGGCACCCGUACCGCAAACCGACACAGGUAGACAGGAAGAGAAUUCUAAGGCCAACGGGAGAAGGGUUGUUAAGGAACUCGGCAAGUUGACCCCGUAACUUAGGGAAAAGGGGUGCUCCUGAAAGGGAGCCGCAGAGAAUAGGUCCAGGCGACUGUUUAGCAAAAACACAGCUCUAUGCUAAAUCGAAAGAUGACGUAUAUGGGGUGACACCUGCCCGGUGCCGGAAGGUUAAGAGGAGGAGUGAGAGCUCUGAAUUGAAGCCCCGGUAAACGGCGGCCGUAACUAUAACGGUCCUAAGGUAGCGAAAUUCCUUGUCAGGUAAGUUCUGACCCGCACGAAUGGUGUAACGAUCUGGACACUGUCUCAACAGCCCGCCCGGCGAAAUUGUAGUACCGGUGAAGAUGCCGGUUACCCGCGACAAGACGGAAAGACCCCAUGGAGCUUUACUGCAGCUUAAUAUUGGAUUUCGGUAUUUCAUGUACAGGAUAGGUGGGAGGCAGAGAAGGCAGCACGCCAGUGUUGCUGGAGCCGCCGUUGGGAUACCACUCUUGAGGUGCUGAAAUUCUAACCUGCGGCCGUGAAUCCGGUCGGGGGACAGUGUUAGGCGGGCAGUUUGACUGGGGCGGUCGCCUCCAAAAAGGUAACGGAGGCGCUCAAAGGUUGGCUCAGCAUGGACGGAAACCAUGCCAGAGAGUGUAAACGCACAAGCCAGCCUAACUGCGAGAGCGACAGUUCGAGCAGUAACGAAAGUUGGAGUUAGUGAUCCGGUGGUAUGUGAGUGGAAAUGCCAUCGCUCAACGGAUAAAAGCUACCCUGGGGAUAACAGGCUGAUCUCCCCCAAGAGUCCACAUCGUCGGGGAGGUUUGGCACCUCGAUGUCGGCUCAUCGCAUCCUGGGGCUGAAUUCGGUCCCAAGGGUUUGGCUGUUCGCCAAUUAAAGCGGUACGCGAGCUGGGUUCAGAACGUCGUGAGACAGUUCGGUCCCUAUCUGUCGUGGGCGCAGGAUAUUUGAGAGGAGCUGUCCCUAGUACGAGAGGACCGGGAUGGACGUACCUCUGGUGCACCAGUUGUCGUGCCAACGGCACAGCUGGGCAGCUAAGUACGGAUCGGAUAAACGCUGAAGGCAUCUAAGCGUGAAGCCGACCUCAAGAUAAGAUAUGCCACUGAGUAAUCAGGUAAGACCCCUUGAAGACUACAAGGUUGAUAGGCCGCAUGUGGAAGCGUCGUGAGGCGUGCAGCAAGGCGGUACUAAUCGGUCGAGGGCUUGACCAG
rnacentral:rRNA from 1 species